CAAAAUGUAGCUAAAUUAGUAAAGCACCUCCCUUACACCGAGAAGACACCCGUGCAAUUCGAGUCAUUUUGAUA
rnacentral:tRNA from 1 species